rnacentral:rRNA from 1 species
AUUGAACGCUGGCGGCAGGCCUAAUACAUGCAAGUCGAACGGUAACAGUAGAAAAGCUUGCUUUUCUAGCUGACGAGUGGCGGACGGGUGAGUAACAUUUGGGAAACUACCUGAUAGAGGGGGACAACAGUUGGAAACGACUGCCUAAUACCGCAUACGAAGGAACCAUCGCAUGGUGGCUUCUUGAAAGAUGGCCUCUAUUUAUAAGCUAUCGCUGAAGGAUGGGCCUGCGUCCGAUUAGCUGGUUGGUGGGGUAACGGCCUACCAAGGCGACGAUCGGUAGCCGGUCUGAGAGGAUGAACGGCCACAUUGGGACUGAGACACGGCCCAGACUCC